rnacentral:rRNA from 1 species
GGGCCCGCACAAGCGGUGGAGCAUGUGGUUUAAUUCGACGCUACGCGCAGAACCUUACCUGGGUUAAAUCCUCCAGAAUUCGGACUAAAUGCCGAAGUGCCCUUCGGGGAAUUGGAGCGAAGGUGCUGCAUGGCUGUCGUCAGCUCGUGUCGUGAGAUGUUGGGUUAAGUCCCGCAACGAGCGCAACCCUUGCCGUCUGUUGCCAUCAUUAAGUUGGGAACUCAGACGGGACUGCCGGCCUAAACCGGAGGAAGGUGGGGAUGACGUCAAGUCCUCAUGGCCCUUAUGCCCAGGGCUACACACGUGCUACAAUGGUAGGUACAAAGUGCCGCGAACCCGCGAGGGUAAGCAAAACACAAAAAACCUGCCUCAGUUCGGAUUGGAGUCUGCAACUCGACUCCAUG